ACAAAAUGGUGGUUUGUCUUUAUUUCACUUUCAUUUUGGAAAAAGUAAUAAAAUGGAUUCAGCCCCUCCUCCAGUCACGGGUUUCCUGUUAAAGUCAUAAACCAGUAUUUCCUCUGUUGUUUGCUGCUCGUUCGCCUGCAAACACAUCAUUAUCUGACUGAUGCAAUGUUCACAUUCACCUAGCACAAACACAUGAACAGGGAGAAGAUGAUCUGGAUCCUUCUGCUCGUCGGCCUGACCUCCUCUGUCUGUGGGAUGUUUGUCUUGAAAAAGACUCCGACCUUCUAUCAGUCAGAGCCUCUGAAGCUUUUCUAUGAAAUGGUUGACGGUGUGGAGUCCUCAGAGUCUCAGCAUCAGCAGUUUGCAGGACGGGUGCAGUGUGACAAAGGCGCCCUCAGAGGAGGACGAGUCAGACUUCAUGUGUCCAGAGUCACGACUGAUGACUCUGGACGUUACUGGUGUGAUCUGGCUGCUAAUUAUGACAAGAUCAGGAGAAGAUGGGGGCUAGAGACCACUGGUAAGCUGACUCAGCAGAACUCUAACCAGGACUCAUGUUUCAUUACACACUAAAAGUUUAUACAGUGGACCUAUUACCACCACUUCAUUAAAUGCAUGGCGUCAAGAUAAACAUUCUAAAUAAUAGUGUAGAUUUUUAACGUACAUUUUUUGGAAACAUUAUUUGAAAUAAAAAAACUGUUAUACUGGAUUACACCGAAUGUUAAGUAACUCUAUUUUAGGAAACAUUAUUACUUACAUAAGUACUUUGGUAUUUUGUUUUCACAGAAGAAAUAAGAGUUAUUU
rnacentral:lncRNA from 15 species